CUACGGGGGGCUGCAGUGAGGAAUUUUGCGCAAUGGGGGCAACCCUGACGCAGCAACGCCGCGUGAGUGAAGAAGGCCUUUGAGUCGUAAAGCUCUGUCAACAGGGAAGAAGUUACUUCAUAUUAAUAGUAUGUAGUAUUGACGGUACCUGUGGAGGAAGCAUCGGCUAACUCCGUGCCAGCAGCCGCGGUAAUACGGGGGAUGCAAGCGUUAUUCGGAAUCAUUGGGCGUAAAGGGCACGCAGGCGGCUCUGUCAGUCAGAUGUGAAAGCCCGGGGCUCAACCCCGGACGUGCAUUUGAAACAGCAGAGCUUGAGUACGGUAGAGGAAAGCGGAAUUCCUGGUGUAGAGGUGAAAUUCGUAGAUAUCAGGAGGAACACCGGUGGCGAAGGCGGCUUUCUGGACCGAAACUGACGCUGAGGUGCGAAGGCGUGGGUAGCGAACAGGAUUAGAUACCCUCGUAGUC
rnacentral:rRNA from 1 species